UGCCUGGCACAGCAAUGUCCUAUUCAAUCUGUCAUCCUGUUCCUGUGCAUAUAUUUCAUAAUAAGGUGCUGCUUCAUGAAACAGAUGGAAAGGGGGGAGCAAAGUUUUGCAUUUCUUUGAACAGAGAAGUGGAUUAAUACUAGGUAUUUAACUACCUGCAGAGGUUCAAAGGAUUCCAAAGAACUGCAUGAAAGAUAUCCAGCACAUGCAUCAUUUGUUUCUCUUGUUCCAUAAGGGAAGAUAUACUACUUGGAUCAGCUGUACCCUCCUUGGAACAGGGUGCAAACCACUUAAUAAGUGGGAUUCAGCAGCUGAAGCACAGGUGUUUAGUGAGUGACAUUGCAGCUCCUGGUGUUCAAGAUAUCCAUGUCAGGAUGGCCAAAAUGCCACAGGGCUGACAAGAAGCCCAUAUCCUUCCUGCAAGUCACAUAGAGCCGAGACAGAAUACACUCUACAGUAUCUAAAAUGUUGCUUAGAUUUAUCUAAAAGAUAAUUUGGUAUAAAAACCUUUCUGUUCUCAUAAUUUUACUACAAUUUCUCUUUGUAGUAAGCUCUCUAUUCUGUGAAAAAUAACGAGAAAAAAAAAGCAAUAGAAAUGAAGGUUGAAAAAUAAAAUAAAUAAAAAUAAAAUAACAGUAAAAAUGAAAGAAAGAACAAAACACCAGAUGAGCCAAUAGACUUUGGCCUCUCCAACAAACAAAAGGUGUUCUUGAACAAAAGGUGUUCAAGAUUCCAGAAAGUUAGGAAUUUGAAAAAAUAUUUCAGGGAAAGUAUUUCCUCUCUGCAAACCUGAAAUGUAUGCCAUCACAGCCCUGCUUUCUUAGUUAAUAUGUAAAAUUAGUUUUUGAAAAGUCAGUGGAAGACUACCAUCAUUUUAUUAUUUUGUAGAAUCUGAAUAUAGUUUCUUGAUUCAGUGCUCCUGUUACUAUGCUCGGUUUCUACUGUUAUGAGCAAUAUCAAAAAGCUGCUCACAGAUCAUUUAAUAUUUUUUUUUUUUUUUUCCCUGAGUGUUUGUUUCCCAAUAUAUAUUUUAGAGAGAAUAUGUCUUGGACCAAAAACUUGUCUCUGAAAGCUAUCAAGUCUUGUUAAAAAAAGUUCUGAAUUCUCCUAGUCAGAAUAUAUAUUCUGUCCUAUAUACUUAUUUCUUAAUACAAAGAAAAACAAAUGUAUCUGUUGUCUGAACCAGUCAUUGUCUGAAUCUGACAUUGUCUUGAUGAUAUUUUCAUACAUCAUUUUGUACUUUCAUACGUCUCUGUGCUUUCAAACAUCGUCUGUACUUUCCAAUUUAUUUUGUGUGUUCUGGCAAUUAAGGUUCAAGGUCAUUCUGAAAUUCUGCUUAGCAUAUCACAGAACUUCUGUAGUGAAUAAUUCCCUCUUACUACUUACAUGAAUUUAUUUUCAAAAUUGUCUUGCAAAACCUAAUUCUGUUUUUAUAUAUAUAUAU